rfam:Arabidopsis thaliana chromosome 1, complete sequence.
GUUCACACGACAACACAAUUUCACUGGUACCAAUCAUUCCAACAAAUUAUAACUCGGUCUCAGGGAUUGUAUAUUUUGUUGGAUUGAUUGGUAACAUGAAAUUUUGAAUUUUUGAAUUUUU